rnacentral:rRNA from 1 species
UUAAGCGACUAAGCGUACACGGUGGAUGCCCUGGCAGUCAGAGGCGAUGAAGGACGUGCUAAUCUGCGAUAAGCGUCGGUAAGGUGAUAUGAACCGUUAUAACCGGCGAUUUCCGAAUGGGGAAACCCAGUGUGUUUCGACACACUAUCAUUAACUGAAUCCAUAGGUUAAUGAGGCGAACCGGGGGAACUGAAACAUCUAAGUACCCCGAGGAAAAGAAAUCAACCGAGAUUCCCCCAGUAGCGGCGAGCGAACGGGGAGGAGCCCAGAGCCUGAAUCAGUGUGUGUGUUAGUGGAAGCGUCUGGAAAGGCGCGCGAUACAGGGUGACAGCCCCGUACACAAAAAUGCACAUGCUGUGAGCUCGAUGAGUAGGGCGGGACACGUGGUAUCCUGUCUGAAUAUGGGGGGACCAUCCUCCAAGGCUAAAUACUCCUGACUGACCGAUAGUGAACCAGUACCGUGAGGGAAAGGCGAAAAGAACCCCGGCGAGGGGAGUGAAAAAGAACCUGAAACCGUGUACGUACAAGCAGUGGGAGCACCCUUUUGGGUGUGACUGCGUACCUUUUGUAUAAUGGGUCAGCGACUUAUAUUCUGUAGCAAGGUUAACCGAAUAGGGGAGCCGAAGGGAAACCGAGUCUUAACUGGGCGUUAAGUUGCAGGGUAUAGACCCGAAACCCGGUGAUCUAGCCAUGGGCAGGUUGAAGGUUGGGUAACACUAACUGGAGGACCGAACCGACUAAUGUUGAAAAAUUAGCGGAUGACUUGUGGCUGGGGGUGAAAGGCCAAUCAAACCGGGAGAUAGCUGGUUCUCCCCGAAAGCUAUUUAGGUAGCGCCUCGUGAAUUCAUCUCCGGGGGUAGAGCACUGUUUCGGCAAGGGGGUCAUCCCGACUUACCAACCCGAUGCAAACUGCGAAUACCGGAGAAUGUUAUCACGGGAGACACACGGCGGGUGCUAACGUCCGUCGUGAAGAGGGAAACAACCCAGACCGCCAGCUAAGGUCCCAAAGUCAUGGUUAAGUGGGAAACGAUGUGGGAAGGCCCAGACAGCCAGGAUGUUGGCUUAGAAGCAGCCAUCAUUUAAAGAAAGCGUAAUAGCUCACUGGUCGAGUCGGCCUGCGCGGAAGAUGUAACGGGGCUAAACCAUGCACCGAAGCUGCGGCAGCGACACUAAGUGUUGUUGGGUAGGGGAGCGUUCUGUAAGCCUGUGAAGGUGUACUGUGAGGUAUGCUGGAGGUAUCAGAAGUGCGAAUGCUGACAUAAGUAACGAUAAAGCGGGUGAAAAGCCCGCUCGCCGGAAGACCAAGGGUUCCUGUCCAACGUUAAUCGGGGCAGGGUGAGUCGACCCCUAAGGCGAGGCCGAAAGGCGUAGUCGAUGGGAAACAGGUUAAUAUUCCUGUACUUGGUGUUACUGCGAAGGGGGGACGGAGAAGGCUAUGUUGGCCGGGCGACGGUUGUCCCGGUUUAAGCGUGUAGGCUGGUUUUCCAGGCAAAUCCGGAAAAUCAAGGCUGAGGCGUGAUGACGAGGCACUACGGUGCUGAAGCAACAAAUGCCCUGCUUCCAGGAAAAGCCUCUAAGCAUCAGGUAACAUCAAAUCGUACCCCAAACCGACACAGGUGGUCAGGUAGAGAAUACCAAGGCGCUUGAGAGAACUCGGGUGAAGGAACUAGGCAAAAUGGUGCCGUAACUUCGGGAGAAGGCACGCUGAUAUGUAGGUGAAGCGACUUGCUCGUGGAGCUGAAAUCAGUCGAAGAUACCAGCUGGCUGCAACUGUUUAUUAAAAACACAGCACUGUGCAAACACGAAAGUGGACGUAUACGGUGUGACGCCUGCCCGGUGCCGGAAGGUUAAUUGAUGGGGUUAGCGCAAGCGAAGCUCUUGAUCGAAGCCCCGGUAAACGGCGGCCGUAACUAUAACGGUCCUAAGGUAGCGAAAUUCCUUGUCGGGUAAGUUCCGACCUGCACGAAUGGCGUAAUGAUGGCCAGGCUGUCUCCACCCGAGACUCAGUGAAAUUGAACUCGCUGUGAAGAUGCAGUGUACCCGCGGCAAGACGGAAAGACCCCGUGAACCUUUACUAUAGCUUGACACUGAACAUUGAGCCUUGAUGUGUAGGAUAGGUGGGAGGCUUUGAAGUGUGGACGCCAGUCUGCAUGGAGCCGACCUUGAAAUACCACCCUUUAAUGUUUGAUGUUCUAACGUUGGCCCCUGAUCGGGGUUGCGGACAGUGUCUGGUGGGUAGUUUGACUGGGGCGGUCUCCUCCUAAAGAGUAACGGAGGAGCACGAAGGUUGGCUAAUCCUGGUCGGACAUCAGGAGGUUAGUGCAAUGGCAUAAGCCAGCUUGACUGCGAGCGUGACGGCGCGAGCAGGUGCGAAAGCAGGUCAUAGUGAUCCGGUGGUUCUGAAUGGAAGGGCCAUCGCUCAACGGAUAAAAGGUACUCCGGGGAUAACAGGCUGAUACCGCCCAAGAGUUCAUAUCGACGGCGGUGUUUGGCACCUCGAUGUCGGCUCAUCACAUCCUGGGGCUGAAGUAGGUCCCAAGGGUAUGGCUGUUCGCCAUUUAAAGUGGUACGCGAGCUGGGUUUAGAACGUCGUGAGACAGUUCGGUCCCUAUCUGCCGUGGGCGCUGGAGAACUGAGGGGGGCUGCUCCUAGUACGAGAGGACCGGAGUGGACGCAUCACUGGUGUUCGGGUUGUCAUGCCAAUGGCACUGCCCGGUAGCUAAAUGCGGAAGAGAUAAGUGCUGAAAGCAUCUAAGCACGAAACUUGCCCCGAGAUGAGUUCUCCCUGACUCCUUGAGAGUCCUGAAGGAACGUUGAAGACGACGACGUUGAUAGGCCGGGUGUGUAAGCGCAGCGAUGCGUUGAGCUAACCGGUACUAAUGAACCGUGAGGCUUAACCUU